AAGGAAUCUGGAGGAAGACCAAGGAGGAGCUGGUGAUUAACAUCACGCAAGGGCAGGCAUGUCCCCAGUGUGGCACCUCAGAGGUGACCAGCCACACAGCCCCCACCCCUGCCUGGACUGUGGCAUCUAGUGAGAGCUCCCAGCAUGAGCGACGCAGAAGAUGGGUGAUUUCUGCAUUUCCAACUGAGAUCUGCCCACAGGAGAGAAUGCAACAGUCCGAGAUGUGCUUCCAGGCAUGCAGAGAGGCGAGGGCUCACCCCAGGUGCAAAGCCUGCUGCUGUCUGGCCAACCUCCACCUGCAUCAAAGGCCAUCCACAUCAGGGGCUGGCGCCAG
rnacentral:lncRNA from 10 species